UACAGACCUAUUCAUGGACCACUUUCACUCCCUUUCUUGUUAACCUCGUCUCACGCCUUUUCUUUCAGAAGUUCAUCUGUUUGAGUACAUUAAAUGUUCACAGAAGACCUGCCUGAGUGUGUUCACCAAAGUGUUCUCAGAUAGAGCUGUGGUGGUACUGGGGAUCAAAGACUGCCAAUGGAUAAGCCUGCUGGGCAAAAGGACAAACAGAAAAGAUGUCCCCCUUCUUCCUGAUGAAUGCUGUUAAGUUAAACAGACAAGGCUUCCAUGGACAAAAGACUUCAAACAUUUCCUCUCCUGAAACCAUCAUGUUCUGUGGAAUUAGC